rnacentral:lncRNA from 1 species
UGGUGGUGCUGCUGCUGCUGCUGCUGCUGGUGGAGGUGGUGGUGGUGGAGGUGCUCGCACCACCACCGGAGAGAGAGGCUCUCCUCAGUUGUGUCAAGCUAGGCGAUCGAAGAAGAACGGCCAAAAGUCCUCGCAUCUUCCAACGCAACAGGCCUUAUUAUCAACAACAACAACAACAACAACAAAAACAACCAACCCUUGUGUUAUUUGCGUGACAAAACGCGCUGUAAUAAACCUGGACGACGUUUACUAUUUAAUUUGUUGGAGAGAAGGAGGAGGAGGAGGAGGAGGAACUCACCAAAAGACGACGAACGUGGUGGCAUCGAAGAAAAAAAAAAUAAAGGGGGUUAACAAACCCUAAUUCCGACUGUUGCUGCUGUUUUAUUUUAUUUAUGCUGUUGCUGCUUUAAUGAAUGGUCAUCGUCUUCUUCUUCUUCUUCUUUUUCUUCUUAUUCUUCGUUGGAAUGAUUCUUCAUGAUCAACGCAAUCAACGAUUCUCGUUGUCUCUCGACGAAGAGAAAUAAAUCGAGAAAGUAAAAAGAA